rnacentral:rRNA from 1 species
GACGAACCGUGCGAACGUUGUUCGGAAUCACUGGGCUUAAAGGGCGCGUAGGCGGGCCGGCCAGUCAGGGGUGAAAGCCCGCGGCUCAACCGCGGAAGCGCCUCUGAUACUGCCGGCCUGGAGGGGGGUAGGGGCGCGCGGAACUUCCGGUGGAGCGGUGAAAUGCGUAGAUAUCGGAAGGAACGCCGGUGGCGAAAGCGGCGCGCUGGACCCCGCCUGACGCUGAGGCGCGAAAGCCAGGGGAGCGAACGGG